rnacentral:rRNA from 1 species
CGAAAGCCUGACGGAGCAAGACCGCGUGAGGGAGGAAGGCUCUUGGGUUGUAAACCUCUUUUCUCAGGGAAGAAGAUCUGACGGUACCUGAGGAAUCAGCAUCGGCUAACUCCGUGCCAGCAGCCGCGGUAAUACGGGGGAUGCAAGCGUUAUCCGGAAUUAUUGGGCGUAAAGCGUUCGUAGGCGGUUUUAUAAGUCUGCUGUCAAAGUGCGGAGCUCAACUCCGUAAGAGCAGUGGAAACUGUGAGACUUGAGUGUGGUAGGGGUAGAGGGAAUUCCCAGUGUAGCGGUGAAAUGCGUAGAUAUUGGGAAGAACACCGGUGGCGAAAGCGCUCUACUGGGCCAUAACUGACGCUGAGGGACGAAAGCUAGGGGAGCG